GCCUGUGAAAUGAAUCUAAGUUCCUCCUUAAUCUUACUCCACGGACAAACCUUCCAUAAGCCUAUAAUGAAGCAGAUUAAGAGCUAUUUAAAGGAGGUACAGCUCCUUUAAAAAAGAACACAAUCUCCCCUAGCGGAUAACCACCACCUAAUCCCUGUAUCUUUCAACUGUGGGCCUUCAAGCAGCCACCAAUAAAGAGUGCGUCAAAGCUCUGUAUUCAAAAAUCAAAAAACAGUAUGACUCCCUUAUCCCCAACAGGCCAACCUAUGACAAUAGGAGAAUCAAUGCUAAAAUAAGUAACUUAGGGUUAUACCCUCUUAAGCGCAAGCUUACAUCCCCACAUUAUUAACAGACCCCCUAAUACAACAACUCUAACAAGACUAGAUAUUGAUAAUGUCUGUUAACCCGACUCAGGAGCGCCCAUUAGAAAGAUUAAAAUCUGUAAAAGGAACUAGGCAAACCCCAGGGCCCGACUGUUUACCAAAAACAUAGCCUUCAGCCAUCCAAGUAUUGAAGGUGAUGCCUGCCCGGUGACACUGUUUAACGGCCGCGGUAUCCUA
rnacentral:rRNA from 1 species